CCUACGGGAGGCAGCAGUGGGGAAUAUUGCACAAUGGGGGAAAACCUGAUGCCGCGACGCCGCGGGAGUGAAGAAGUAAUUCGUUAUGUAAAGCUCUAUCAGCAGGGAAGAAAAUUACGGUACCUGCAAAGGAAACACCGGCUAACGCCGUUCCAGCAACCGCGGUAAAUAGGAGGGUGCGAGCGUUAAUCGGAAUUACUGGGCGUAAAGAGCUCGUAGGCGGGAUGUCAAGUCAAGGGUGAAAUCCCCGCGCUCAACGUGGGGACUGCCUUUGAAACUGGCAAACUGGAGUGUGUGAGAGGAUGGUGGAAUUCCAGGUGUAGGAGUGAAAUCCGUAGAUAUCUGGAGGAACAUCAGUGGCGAAGGCGACUAUCUGGCACAUAACUGACGCUGAGGAGCGAAAGCGUGGGUAGCAAACAGGAUUAGAUACCCGUGUAGUC
rnacentral:rRNA from 1 species